GAUGAACGCUGGCGGCGUGCCUAAUACAUGCAAGUCGAGCGAAAAGACGAGGAGCUUGCGCCUCUGACGUUAGCGGCGGACGGGAGAGUAACACGUGGAUAACCUACCUAUAAGACUGGGAUAAUCUCGGGAAACGGGAGAUAAUACGGGAGAAUAUAUUGAACCGCGUGGGGCAAUAGUGAAAGACGGCUUUGGUGUAACGUAUAGAUGGAUCCGCGCCGCGUUAGCUAGUUGGUAAGGUAACGGCUUACCAAGGCAACUAGGCGUUGCCGACGGCUUUGGGGGGUCGCCCACCUGGGAGCUUGGCCGCCGUCCAUGCUCCUACGGGAGGCCCCAGUCGGCUACGUGCCGCAGUGGUCGAGAGCCUGACGGAGCAACGCCGCGUCAGUUAUGAAGGUCUUCGGAUCGUAAUACUCUCUUAUUGGUUAUGAACAAAUUUCUACGUAACUGUGCACUUCUUGACGGUACCGGAUCAGAAAGCCCCGGCUAACUACGUG
rnacentral:rRNA from 1 species